GUUAAAGAUUCUAAUCCAUACGUGAACAAGGGUAGAAUGCGCUUUGUAGGGAUCAAAAUUCGGCACCCAAGCCUGGAGAUGAAGUAUACCUGAGCGUAGACGCCAAGUCGUUUUAGCGAAAGCCGCUGCCCUAUCCUCGUCGGUGGUGAAAUUAAAAGUGAAGUAACCUUUUCCGAGAGGAUGAAUCGACCAACCAGCAGACGAUUUCCAAAGCUGCUGAAGUUCCUGCCAAAGAUCCGCUGCAAACCGAGGUGACUCACCUUUGCGGAGGAUCAGCCGGCCG
rnacentral:lncRNA from 1 species